AGAGUUUGAUCAUGGCUCAGGAUGAACGCUAGCGGGAGGCCUAACACAUGCAAGCCGAGCGGUAGAGAUUCUUCGGAAUCUUGAGAGCGGCGUACGGGUGCGGAACACGUGUGCAACCUACCUUUAUCUGGAGGAUAGCCUUUCGAAAGGAAGAUUAAUACUCCAUAAUAUAUUGAUUGGCAUCAAUUGAUAUUGAAAGCUCCGGCGGAUAGAGAUGGGCACGCGCAAGAUUAGUUAGUUGGUGAGGUAACGGCUCACCAAGACGAUGAUCUUUAGGGGGCCUGAGAGGGUGAUCCCCCACACUGGUACUGAGACACGGACCAGACUCCUACGGGAGGCUGCAGUGAGGAAUAUUGGUCAAUGGGUGCAAGCCUGAACCAGCCAUCCCGCGUGAAGGACGACUGCCCUAUGGGUUGUAAACUUCUUUUGUAUAGGGAUAAACCUACCCUCGUGAGGGUAGCUGAAGGUACUAUACGAAUAAGCACCGGCUAACUCCGUG
rnacentral:rRNA from 1 species